rnacentral:tRNA from 1 species
GCCCACUCAGUUGGUAGAGCAUGAGACUCUUAAUCUCAGGGUCGUGGGUUCAAGCCCCACAUUGGGCA